rnacentral:rRNA from 1 species
AAUAGAUACCCAGGUAGUCCACGCCCUAAACGAUGUCAACUAGCUGUUGGGGGCUUCGGCCCUUGGUAGCGCAGCUAACGCGUGAAGUUGACCGCCUGGGGAGUACGGUCGCAAGAUUAAAACUCAAAGGAAUUGACGGGGACCCGCACAAGCGGUGGAUGAUGUGGAUUAAGUCGAUGCAACGCGAAAAACCCUACCUACCCUUGACAUGUCUGGAAUCCCGAAGAGAUUUGGGAGUGCUCGCAAGAGAACCGGAACACAGGUGCUGCAUGGCUGUCGUCAGCUCGUGUCGUGAGAUGUUGGGUUAAGUCCCGCAACGAGCGCAACCCUUGUCAUUAGUUGCUACGAAAGGGCACUCUAAUGAGACUGCCGGUGACAAACCGGAGGAAGGUGGGGAUGACGUCAAGUCCUCAUGGCCCUUAUGGGUAGGGCUUCACACGUCAUACAAUGGUCGGGACAGAGGGUCGCCAACCCGCGAGGGGAGCCAAUCCCAGAAACCCGAUCGUAGUCCGGAUCGCAGUCUGCAACUCGACUGCGU